AAUGGCACUGGAAGAAUUCACGGGUUGCAUUUUUGUGUCAAUGAUUGGAAUUUGGUUUUGAUGGAGUCAAAAGAAGAGGCCGGAAGGAGUUUUUAUUUAUUUAUUUAUUUAUUUUUUUUUUAUUAUUAUUAUUACUUACUUCCAUUGAGGCCUCGCUUUAUUCUUUGUCUCUGAUCAAUUCUUUUCCAAUCUGAAAACAUUGAUACUCGUGGAUCUUCAGUGCUGUACC
rnacentral:pre_miRNA from 1 species